rnacentral:rRNA from 1 species
UACGUAGGGUGCGAGCGUUAAUCGGAAUUACUGGGCGUAAAGUGUGCGCAGGCGGCCGCGCAAGUCGAGUGUGAAAGCCCCGGGCUUAACUUGGGAAUUGCGCUCGAAACUACGUGGCUGGAGUGUGGCAGAGGAAGGUGGAAUUCCAGGUGUAGCGGUGAAAUGCGUAGAGAUCGGGAGGAAGGCCGGUGGCGAAGGCGGCGCUCGUGGAACAUUUCUGACGCUGAGGCUCGAAAGCGUGGGGAGCAAACAGGAAUUAGAUGA